AUGAACGCUGGCGGCGUGCCUAAUACAUGCAAGUCGAGCGAACGGACGAGAAGCUUGCUUCUCUGAUGUUAGCGGCGGACGGGUGAGUAACACGUGGAUAACCUACCUAUAAGACUGGGAUAACUUCGGGAAACCGUAGCUAAUACCGGAUAAUAUUUUGAACCGCAUGGUUCAAAAGUGAAAGACGGUCUUGCUGUCACUUAUAGAUGGAUCCGCGCUGCAUUAGCUAGUUGGUAAGGUAACGGCUUACCAAGGCAACGAUGCAUAGCCGACCUGAGAGGGUGAUCGGCCAAACUGGAACUGAGACACGGUCCAGACUCCUACGGGAGGCAGCAGUAGGGAAUCUUCCGCAAUGGGCGAAAGCCUGACGGAGCAACGCCGCGUGAGUGAUGAAGGUCUUCGGAUCGUAAAACUCUGUUAUUAGGGAAGAACAUAUGUGUAAGUAACUGUGCACAUCUUGACGGUACCUAAUCAGAAAGCCACGGCUAACUACGUG
rnacentral:rRNA from 1 species